rnacentral:rRNA from 1 species
GACGAACGCUGGCGGCGGGCUUGACACAUGCAAGUCGAACGGAAAGGGCCAGCUGUUUGCUUGUUCUCUAGUGGCGAGCGGGUGGGUAACACGUGAGUGGCCUGCCGUUGGCUGGGGGGUAACUUCAGGAAACUAGGGUUAAUACCGGAGAGUAGCUCCGGCUGCAUGAUGAGGGGGGGAAAGGGGAGGCGGGUGGUGAUGGACUCGCGGCUGAGCAGCUUGUUGGUGGGGGAGUGGCUUACCAAGGCUUUGACGGGUAGCCGGCCUGAGAGGGUGAACGGCGUCAUUGGGACUGCGGUACGGAGCAGACUCGUACGGGGGACAGCAGUGGGGAAUCUUGUACAAUGGGCGGGCGUCUAAUGCAGAAACGUCCGGUUCGGGAUGUCGGCCUUGCGGUUGUAAACCGAUUUAGCCUGUGACGAAGCCUCAGUGACGGUAAUGGGAAAAGAAGCACCGGCUAACUCCGUG